rnacentral:rRNA from 1 species
UACGUAGGGACCGAGCGUUGUCCGGAAUCAUUGGGCGUAAAGAGCGUGUAGGCGGCCCCUUAAGUCCUGCGUGAAAUCCUGCGGCUCAACCGCAGACGGUCGUGGGAAACUGGAGGGCUAGAGUGCGGGAGAGGAGAGUGGAAUUCCCGGUGUAGCGGUGAAAUGCGCAGAUAUCGGGAAGAACACCCGUGGCGAAGGUGGCUCUCUGGAACGCAACUGACGCUGAGACGCGAAAGCGUGGGGAGCAAACAGG